UUGGAAGUAUAAAAAGCGUAACAAGGUUUCCGUAGGUGAACCUGCGGAAGGAUCAUUACCGAGUGAGGGCCCUUUGGGUCCAACCUCCCACCCGUGUUUAUUUACCUCGUUGCUUCGGCGGGCCCGCCUUAACUGGCCGCCGGGGGGCUCACGCCCCCGGGCCCGCGCCCGCCGAAGACACCCCCGAACUCUGCCUGAAGAUUGUCGUCUGAGUGAAAAUAUAAAUUAUUUAAAACUUUCAACAACGGAUCUCUUGGUUCCGGCAUCGAUGAAGAACGCAGCGAAAUGCGAUACGUAAUGUGAAUUGCAAAUUCAGUGAAUCAUCGAGUCUUUGAACGCACAUUGCGCCCCCUGGUAUUCCGGGGGGCAUGCCUGUCCGAGCGUCAUUGCUGCCCUCAAGCCCGGCUUGUGUGUUGGGCCCCGUCCUCCGAUUCCGGGGGACGGGCCCGAAAGGCGAGCGGCGGCACCGCGUCCGGUCCUCGAGCGUAUGGGGCUUUGUCACCCGCUCUGUAGGCCCGGCCGGCGCUUUGCCGAAUCAACCCAAAUUUUGAUCCAGGUGGACCUCGGAUCAGGUAGGAUACCCGUCC
rnacentral:rRNA from 1 species